UACGUAGGUGGCAAGCGUUGUCCGGAAUUAUUGGGCGUAAAGAGCGCGCAGGCGGUCGUUCAAGUCGAGUGUGAAAGCCCCCGGCUCAACCUGGGAAUGGCAGUGGAAACUAGGGGACUUGAAUCUGGCAGAGGGGGGUGGAAUUCCACGUGUAGCAGUGAAAUGCGUAGAGAUGUGGAGGAACACCGAUGGCGAAGGCAGCCCCCUGGGCUGAGAUUGACGCUCAGGCACGAAAGCGUGGGGAGCAAACAGG
rnacentral:rRNA from 1 species